AGAGUUUGAUCCUGGCUCAGGAUGAACGCUAGCUACAGGCUUAACACAUGCAAGUCGAGGGGCAGCAUGAAGUUUGCUUGCAAACUUUGAUGGCGACCGGCGCACGGGUGAGUAACGCGUAUCCAACCUUCCCCUUAGUAGGGCAUAGCCCGUAGAAAUGCGGAUUAAUACCCUAUGUUGUUCGUAGAGGACAUCUGAAAUGAACCAAAGAUUUAUCGCUAUGGGAUGGGGAUGCGUCUGAUUAGGUAGUCGGCGGGGUAACGGCCCACCGAGCCGACGAUCAGUAGGGGUUCUGAGAGGAAGGUCCCCCACAUUGGUACUGAGACACGGACCAAACUCCUACGGGAGGCAGCAGUGAGGAAUAUUGGUCAAUGGGCGCGAGCGUGAACCAGCCAAGUAGCGUGCAGGAUGACUGCCCUAUGGGUUGUAAACUGCUUUUAUGCGGGAAUAAAGUCAGGUACGCGUACCUGUUUGUAUGUACCGCAUGAAUAAGGACCGGCUAAUUCCGUGCCAGCAGCCGCGGUAAUACGGAAGGUCCGGGCGUUAUCCGGAUUUAUUGGGUUUAAAGGGAGCGCAGGCGGGCGAUUAAGCGUGACGUGAAAUGCAGCGGCUCAACCGUAUGAAGUGCGUCGCGAACUGGUUGCCUUGAGUGAGUUCGACGUCAGCGGAAUUCGUGGUGUAGCGGUGAAAUGCUUAGAUAUCACGAGGAACCCCGAUUGCGAAGGCAGCUGACGAGGCCUUUACUGACGCUAAAGCUCGAAGGUGCGGGUAUCGAACAGGAUUAGAUACCCUGGUAGUCCGCACGGUAAACGAUGGAUGCCCGCUGUUUGCGAUACACUGUGAGCGGCCAAGCGAAAGCGUUAAGCAUCCCACCUGGGGAGUACGCCGGCAACGGUGAAACUCAAAGGAAUUGACGGGGGCCCGCACAAGCGGAGGAACAUGUGGUUUAAUUCGAUGAUACGCGAGGAACCUUACCCGGGCUUGAACUGCCAGCGAACGAUUCAGAGAUGAUGAGGUCUUCGGGACGCUGGUGGAGGUGCUGCAUGGUUGUCGUCAGCUCGUGCC
rnacentral:rRNA from 1 species